AUGGCCGCGCUCACCCAGACCACAGUGCCAGAAGCUGCAGCAGCGGUACCGCGAGCACGGCUCCCAGCUCCACCUGCGCAGCCUUCUCGAAGCCAACAAGGAGCGCUUCAGCCAUUUCAACACCUCAACACCAACCAUGGGCAUAUUCUGGUGGAUUACUCCAAGAACCUUGUGACGGAGGAGGUGAUGAAGAUCCUGGUGGACCUGGUCAAGUCCAGGGGUGUGGAGGCUGCCUGGGAGCGCAUGCGCAAUGGCAAGAUCAAUUAUACUGAGGAUCCGCCAGUAUUACACGUGGCCCUGCCGAACCAAACACACCCAUUCUGGUGGAUGGCCAGGAUGUGAUGCCAGAGGUCAACAGAGUCCUGGACAAGAUGCAAACUUUCUGCCAGCGUGUGCAGAGUGGUGAAUGGAAGGGGUACACAGGCAAGGCUGUCAUGGACGUCAUCAACAUUGACAUCAGAGGCUCCGACCUGGGGCCCCUCAUGGUGACUGAAGCCUGCAAGCCAUACUCCUCAGAGGGUCCCCCGGUUCUGGUUUGUCUUCAACAUUGAUGGAACCCACAUUUUCAAAACCCUGGCCAACCUGAGCCCGGAUUCUUCCCUGUUCAUCAUUGCCUCCAAGACGUGUACCACCCAGGAGACCAUCAAGAAUGCAGGAACGGCUCGGCUGAAGGAGUGCUUUCUCCUGACAGCCGAGGAUCCCUCAACAGUUGCAAAGCACUUUGUUGCCCUGUCCACCAAUACAGACAAAGUGAAGGAGUUUGGGAUGGACCGUGCAAAAAUGUCUGAGUUCUGGGAUUGGGUGGGAGGACGCCACUCCCUCUGGUCAGCCAUCGGACUCUCCAUUGCCCUGCACAUGGGUUUUGGCAACUUCCAGCAGCUGCUCUCAGGGGCUCACUGGAUGGACCAGCACUUUCACACGAAGCCUCUGGAAAAGAAUGCCCCUGUGCUGCUGGCCCUGCUGGGCGUCUGGUACAUCAGCUGCUUUGGGUUUGAGACCCACACCAUGCUGCCCUACGGCCAGUGCCUGCACCGCCUUGCUGCUUACUUCCAGCAAGGUAACAUGGAGUCCAACAGGAAGUACAUCACCAAGUCCAGUGUUCGUGUGGACCACCAGACGGGCCCCACUGUGUGGGGGGAGCCAGGGACCAAUGGCCAGCAUGCCUUCCACCAGCUCAUCCACCAACGCACCUAGAUGAUACCCUGUGACUUUCUCGUUCUGGUCCAGACCCAGCACCCAGAACAGAAGGGUUUGCAUCACAAGAUCCUCCUGUCCAAUUUCUUGACCCAGACAGAAGCCCUGAUGAAGCCGAAAUCUACAGAUGAAGCCUGGAAGGAACUCCAUACCGCAGGAAAUAAUCCAGAGGACUUGGAGAAGCUGCUGCUGCACAAGGUCUUUGAAGGAAAUCGCCCAGCCAACCCUAUCAUGUUCACGAAGCUCACACCAUUCAUCCUUGGAGCCUUGAUCGCCAUGAACGAGCACAAGAUCUUUGUUCAGGGCAUCAUCUGGGACACAACAGCUUUGACCGGAGGGGAGUGGAGCUGGGAAAGCAGCUGGCUAAGAAGAUAGAGCCUAAGCUCGAUGGCAGCACUCCAGUAACCUCGCAUGAGUCUUCCACUGAUGAGCUGAUCAACUUCAUCAAACGGGAGUACGAGGCCGUAAUCUAA